rnacentral:rRNA from 1 species
ACGAACGCUGGCGGCGUGCUUAACACAUGCAAGUCGAACGGUAAGGCCCCAGCUUGCUGGGGUACACGAGUGGCGAACGGGUGAGUAACACGUGGGUGACCUGCCCGCACUUCGGGAUAAGCCUGGGAAACUGGGUCUAAUACCGGAUAGGACCGCACCGUGAGGGUGUGGUGGAAAGUUUUUCGGUGUGGGAUGGGCCCGCGGCCUAUCAGCUUGUUGGUGGGGUAAUGGCCUACCAAGGCGGCGACGGGUAGCCGGCCUGAGAGGGUGGACGGCCACAUUGGGACUGAGACACGGCCCAGACUCCUACGGGAGGCAGCAGUGGGGAAUAUUGCACAAUGGGCGGAAGCCUGAUGCAGCGACGCCGCGUGGGGGAUGACGGCCUUCGGGUUGUAAACUCCUUUCACCAUCGACGAAGGGUUUCUGACGGUAGAUGGAGAAGAAGCACCGGCUAACUACGUGCCAGCAGCCGCGGUAAU